GCAUUUGUAGCUCAGUUGGAUAGAGUAACCGACUUCGAAUCGGUUGGUCGUGGGUUCGAGUCCCACCGAGUGCA
rnacentral:tRNA from 1 species